rnacentral:rRNA from 1 species
UACGUAGGGGGCAAGCGUUGUCCGGAUUCAUUGGGCGUAAAGAGCGUGUAGGCGGCCAGGUAGGUCGGUUGUGAAACUGGAGGCUCAACCUUCAGAGGUCGAACCGAAACCAUCUGGCUAGAGUCCGGGAGAGGAGAGUGGAAUUCCUGGUGUAGCGGUGAAAUGCGCAGAUAUCAGGAAGAACACCCGUGGCGAAAGCGGCUCUCUGGAACGGUACUGACGCUGAGACGCGAAAGCGUGGGGAGCGAACAGG